rnacentral:lncRNA from 1 species
GUGGUGAAACAUGCUCACAUUGUGGUAACUCAAAGCACACACGCGAGGCAUGCUUCAAAUUACACGGUUACCCAGAUUGGUGGCACGACUUACAGGCAAAGAAACGUAAAGAUGGUGGAUCGUCAGAUGACGUCACUGGACGAGCAGCUGUGGCGACUUCAUCCGCACAUCUUUCUUUCACCCCUCCGCCAACCCAAGAUUCGGAAUCA